rnacentral:lncRNA from 1 species
CCUUGUUACUUCAGUUAAUUCAAAGAGAAACCAAGCUGGCUAAACAUUUGAGUAAAAUAAAACGCUACUGUAUUUUGAUCAAAACAAGACAUUUACCGCAAAAGAUAAAUCAAAAUAAGUCAAAUAUCCCUUAUCAGAUCAUGACUUGAAUCAUAUUUCCAUUAACAAUUUACAGAUUUUUUAAAUAUUGUGACCUCAAACUUUAGCUCAACUACUGGAUUUUCUUGUUAAUCACGACAUAACUGAAAAACAAUGAAUCAUAUGGAAAUUAUGCAUAAUCAGUAGGUUAAAUCUGAAUAUAUUUAAGGGAAAACAUCACAGAUUGAAUAGGCAUUUUGAACAUUAAAAUUUCUCAGUAAAUGACCUUUAUUAGUCUAAAUUUAGUCAUGGAACCAACAAGCAGUUACAUAUGGGCUUGCAACGUACUUAAAUGCAGGAAAACAACAAUGAAAAACCAAAUCCCGAUUUGAGAAUUCAGUGGUGAAGCUUAGCUAAUUUCGGAAUAGCGGCAGGGAAAAUCAGCGAGCAACAAUACUUCUAUCAAACCCAAACAUCAAUAUCAAAACCAUGAGAAAUUGAGGUCAGCUACUCUAAAUCCAACUUCCUUCUCUUUUGUUUUUCUUGUCUGAAACUCUUUUUCUUUGGGAUUUUAAAUCUAAAAUUUAAUCGAAAAAAGCUGGUCGCAUUUUUUUAGGAAGGAGGAGAGGGAUCCAAUAGAGCUUCUGUUCGGAGAAGACGCAUGAACAGGUGUGGCUAGGAUUAGAUUUUUUGUAGGGAGGAUAUUUGUGAGAGUAAGUGUAAAUGGAAAAGAAGGGGGAAUGGAGAAGAAGAAGGGGGUACGCCGUUUUUGUCCUAGGGUUCUAAAGGGGAAAAUCUGAUGUUAAGAGGAAAUUAGGGAUCCCCUCUUUAAUGAGGUUAGGGGUUGUUUUAAUGAUAGGGAAUGGGUAUUUGGGUAGUGGGCUAAAACGGUAUAGGCUUGGGUAAUGUUUAAAGCAAAUUAGAUUUUGGGCUUCAAAUUAAGUUGUGGCCCAAACGAAAUUAAAAGACCAAAUUUACUUCUUUUUUUUGUUUUUUUUUAUUUUAAAUUCUAACAAAUUAAAUCCUAAUUUAAGACCCAACUUAAAUAUAAUUAGAAAAAUUAAUUCUAUUUAUCUAUUAAAAAAUGUAUGUAAAAUUUUAAAAAUAUUUUGUUUGAUUUUUAUGUAUUAAUUCUAACAAAUUAAAGAGUAAUUAAUUCCUAAAGUGCAAAUUAAACCUAAUAUGGCAUGAAAUUAAAUGUGACAAUUUUAUUGUUUUUCGAUGAUUUUAAGAUAUUAAAAAUAUAUAAAAUGGAACUAAAUAAAGAAAAACCCCUAAAAUCCAUUAAUAUUGUUUUUGAUCUUUUUUUUAAGAGUUAUUUCCAUGCGGGGCAAAAAUUUGGUGCUCACAGAUUCCCCUCUUUGCUUGGAAACAUGAAGAGUUUUCGAGCGAAGAUAAAGUGAGCAAUUACGAGCAAUUUUUGCCCCUUAGACACUCCAAUGGAUGCUCUUUUUUGAAAAGGUUUGAUCGAACCUUGCUUCGGAUGUUGCCUACAUAUCCUUGGCUAUAAAAGAAUCAGGUCAGUGUAGUUCUAGAAGUUUUGGUUCUGGAAGUUCAGUGAGCUCCUUAUUAACCAAACUCAAAUUGCAAAAGACUAACUAACUAAAGCUAUCACCUACGAGUUACAAGAUUCCUAUCUAUAAAUCUUCUGAAGCCUGAUCUUGAGUCUUGGCUAGUUCUUUAUGCAAAGUCUGAUCUGAAUCUUGAUGAUUCUUAGCUACAAGUGUUGGUUUAUUCUUUUUCAGAUUUUCGGAUCAAGGCGGGACAUGCAAAGCUUGUGACUUCAAUCAUGCUGGUUUAUUCUUUUUCAGAUUUUCACUUCUUUUUUUUAUUCUUUUUCUUUUAUUCUGGAUUGAGACUUCUUCUUUUGGUCAUCUCAAACCCUGUGUCUCGAGGUAUAAACUACUCAGACACCAAAACAAACAAACGAACGGAAUUUUUCUGCCCCAAUUUUUACUAGGAAAAUUUCGUGAGUUAUUUGUAACCAAAACUCUAUACUACUUCAUUAUUGAAAGCAAUAAAAAUCAGGAUUGUGUAUCCUUGGGAAAAAGAAAUUACGGAGUGGAGACCCUAUAUCUAAAAUGAAAUCAACUAGGGAUUGGAGACCCUAUUGUUAAAAAAUCAUCAACUAGGGAAUGGUGACCCUAGGUUGGCACCAGGUUAUGCUGGCAUCAACUAGGGAGUAAAGACCAUGUGUUAGCAUCAACUAGGAGUGGCGACUCUAUGUUGGCAUCAACUAGGGAGUGGAGACUCUAUAUUGGCAUCAACUAGGGAGUGAUGACCCUAUGUUGACAUCAGGUUAUGCUAGCACCAACUAGGGAGUGGAGACCCUAUGUUGGCAAAUCAUCGGGUUAUACUGGCAUCAACUAGGGAGUGGGACCCUAUGUUGGAAAAUCAUUAGGUUAUGCUGGCAUCAACUAGGGAGUGAGACCCCUAUGUUGGAAAAGUCAUCAGGUUAUGAUAGCAUCAACUAAGAAGUGGGACCCUAUGUUGGAAAAAUCAUCAGGUUAUGAUAUCAUCAACUAGGGAGUGGCACCCUAUGUUGGAAAAGUCAUCAGGUUAUGCUGGUAUCAACUAGGGAGUGAGACUUUAUGUUGGAAAAGUCAUCAGGUUAUGUUGGCAUCAACUAGGGAGUGGAGACCCUAUAUUGGCAUCAGGUUAUGCUGGCAUCAACUAGGGAGUGGAGACUCUAUGUUGGCAUCAACUAAGGAGUGGUGACCCUAUGUUGGCAUCAGGUUAUGCUGGCAUCAAGUUAUGCUGACAUCAACUAGGGAGUGGAGACCCUAUGUUGGCAUCAACCAGGGAGUAGUGACCCUAUGUUGGCAUCAGGUUAUAUUAGCAUCAACUAGGGAGUGGAGACCCUAUGUUGGCAUCAACCAAGGAGUGGUGACCCUAUGUUGGCAUCAGGUUAUGUUGGCAUCAACUAGGGAUUGGAGACCCUAUAUUACCAUGAUUUGAAUUUUUCUUCUUUUCUUUCUUUUCAUUUCAUUUUUUUCAUCAUUUUUUAUUUAAGAGAGUGAGUAAAAUGCGGAAAAGAAUUUGGAGGAGACUCCCCUUUUGGAUUGAUUAUUGCUGGAGAUCUAUUUUAGUCUUUGCGCGAUUUCUUUUUGUUGCACAUGCUUCUUGCAAGGUUGCUUUGAAUUACACUUGUUUCCUAUUUCUCAAACAAAGAACAAUUUGUCAGUUUGAAACAAUGGUUGGUUUUGUGACCUUGAGCGUUUCAGUGACUUGAUCUAAGCUCGGCUUCUUUGAUGAAGAUCUCAACUACAACUGCUUGUUCCCUGAGGACCGAUUUCAUUUCUGGCCCUAAAGAACCUCUGGCUUUUCCAUACUUUGUUAUGACAGUUGAUCGCAUGGGACUUAACCUUUUCGACUUUAUUUUGCCUUUGUAGGCCUUUCACUUCUGACUUGUUUGUUUGUUUCUUCAAUUUUUAACUUCCGAGCAUUGGAGAACAUUUUGAUCCUCAAAAUUUGCUGCAACGACUAGUCGCGUGGGACUUAACCUUUUCCAAUUUUAUUUUGCCUUCAUAGGCCUUUCAUUUCCGGCUUCUAUCUUCCAACUUUAAUUUCAGAGUAUUUGGGGUAUCUUGGCUUUUCAAUCCUUGCCGAGACGGUUAGCCACGUGAGAUUCAACUUUUUUAGCUUUAUUUGCCUUCAUAGGCGCUUAAAUUUGAUUUUCUCCUUCCAAGAGUUUUCCGUUUCAAAACAUCAUCCACCAUGGCCGGUCAAAGUCGACUUGAUGCCCUUGCCGAGGCUGGGUGCCUUCUUGUGUAUUAGCUUGUAUCAAAGGAGGGAUUUGUAAAUUAGUCUUACCAUCUUUUCUUUGUCUUAAUCUCGGCACUGAGUUAGACCGAAAGGGAUUCAAAGAAAACAAACAACGAAAUGGAGAAUAAGUUUAAACAAGGUGUGUCCCUUUCACGGAAAGGGAAGAAUGACUUAUCUGGAGUACAUGCGGACUUCAAUGAAUAUGACAUGUCUUUUAGACUGGAUUCCUGACCCGUGUAAAUCGUCUGACUCUCAGAAAUUCAUCACAGUUUUUGCUUCCAAAUCGAGAAACCUUGCACAGGACUGUGCCGAUGCCAAUGGGUGUGAGGAUCUUUUUUUCAAUUGGUGGGGCCCUUUACGGGUUUGUACCAGCUGGCCUCUCUCAUUUCUCUUCUCACCAUCGCCUUAUAGUUCUCUUUGCGAGUUUUCACUAACAAGACUCUCUCAUUUCAUUUCUCUCAUUUUGGCGUAUUGGAUCCAAGUAAAUCUAUCUUCCAAUUUGAACCUCUUUGCCGAUCAAUCAGAAGGACUUGAACAUGGUUUUUGGGUAAAAAUGUUUUAGAUUGAGUUACAACUUUGAAACCUUUCGGGCGAAACCAUCGCCGAACCAUUAUAACUUCUGCCCCAGUUUCAACUUUGGGGAAAUUUGGAUUUUUAUUUGGUGUGACAGAACCCCAAAGAGAGGCUGCCUACGUAUCCUUUUGGAAUCAAGUCACACGUAGUUCAGGGAACUUUGUUUUUUUUUUCUCUCUUUUACCUUUCCUUUUUCCUCUCUAUUUUUCACUUUUCAUUUUGUUUUCUUUGUCUUUUCUUCCCUUUUUUGUAUCUUUCACUUUCUUUUUUUUCAUUUUUUUUUCAUUUUUCACUUCAAACAACACUUUCAGGUUCCAAAGAGGGUAAUCAAAGAAGAGUAACCAGCUCAAAUGGUUUACAAAAGGGUUAAUUAUGUUUGGGUAGCAAGAAUGAAAGUCUUCGUCAUCCUAACCAGAGAAUAUUAAUACUAUAUAGAGGAUCAAACAUAAUACCUUUUGCUUGCAUUUUCAUUGAAGGUUGUCACAAGGACAUUUCCUUCGAUGUUUCCCAGGUACAACGCUCUCUUUGGCAGUACUCUUGUUACCAUGUAUGGAUUUUUCUAAUCUGGAGCCAAUUUUCCUUUAGCUGUUCCAACUCUUUAUUUUAUUUCUUUAAGCUUAUCUUUAUUGCAAUCUAAUUAUUGAUUUACUAUUUCGAGGUCUGACAACAUUUUAGGAUCUGGGCAUAAAGUCCACAAGCAUGUCAUGCUAUUGAAACCUUCAUUUAACAAAACUGAAAAGAAAAUAAGAAAAAUGACAAGAUUAAGAAAAGAGACAUUCAUGUACAAUGAAAUAUUAAUUUCGUUUGUUUUUUUUUUGUUUUUUUUGAAUCUUUAAUAUAGAAGGGUUUACAUCGGAAAGUAAGAAAAUAAAGUAAAACAUUCGUAUCAUACCCUAAAAUAAUCUGAAUGCAAAAAGUAUAGUAAGUCUGGCUACUGAGACUCCCGUCUGAUGGGGAACUUUCAAGCUUGGCGACCAUUUUUUGAAUUUUCUUCUGCCUUGGCAAUGGCUUCAAUGACCUUUAGUAUUGGAUCAAAUUCCUCAUCUUCACAAAUCAUUCCGACUAUUGGCCCAGUGUUGUGAGCAGACAACAAAUUAUUCGUCAUAUCUGGAGCCUCUUUGUCCCAAAAAACAAUUCUUUCAACUUCAAUCAAAUCUUCAAUUGCCCUUUUGAGGGUCCACCAAUAGUACUGUGUCCCACUGCUCGAGAGUGGUAUUCAUAUCUAGCAUCAACUCGAUGCGAUGGGGACUCAGGGUUCGGCCGGUUCGGGCCCACUGGCUGUAAUAGAUUUAGCCCGAUUAGCUUUUAGAACAAGCUUGAAUACGAUUCACCAAUAGGGGUGAACUGAUUCUUUUUGAAAGGCUCUCUUGGGCGAGGAUUAUACUGGGGAACAUUUGAUUGGGGAUUAUAUGGAGCUUGGUAAGGAUGGACAUUUCUAGGAGGUGGAGCUCGGUUUUGUGUAUAAUGUUGUGGCCGCGUAUAAGGUUGUGCGUUCUUCACCGCAUAGGGAGGUGGUGCCAUGGCAUAAGCAACAUUUUGAUGGGGAUAAUAGCGUUGAGGGAUCUCAAGAAGCAUAUAUGAUUGGGUGAAUAACAUGCGGGGCCCCCUCGAACUAGAAGCCAUAAUGGCUCCUUUUUCUCUCCCAUUUCCAUUUAUCAAACCCUCUGAACUAUUUUGAAAAUCUGGUGAUGUGGCCUUAAAAUGAGCAUGACUCAAGAUUCGACCCAUUUUUAGCCCACUUUCUACCAUCUCCCCAAUUUUGAUAGCCUCAGCAAACGGCUUUCCCAUAGUGGACAUCAUGUUUUGGAAGUAGUCCACCUCUUGGGCCUAUAGAAAGACUGCAACCAUUUCUGCUUCGUCCAUUGGAGGCUUUACCCUGCCAGCUUGCUCACGCCAUUUGACAACAUAUUCGUGAAAGCUUUCCGCGGUCUUCUUUUUUCAAAUUGGACAAAAAGUUCCUGUCGGGAGCGAUGUCCACAUUAUACUGGAACUGGCAGACAAAAUCUCGGGCCAUAUCAUCCCACACAUUCCAAUGGGUAAUUUCUUGAUCCAUAUACCACUCAGAAGCGAUUCCGGUGAGGCUUUCUCCAAAAUAGCCAUCAAAAGUUCUUCUUUUCCACCAGCGCCUCUCAAUUGGUUACAAUAUCGUUUCAGGUGAGCGACCGAGCCUCCAUGCCCAUCGUGCUUUUCAUAUUUUGGCAUCCUGAAGCCAGCUGGAAAGUGGACAUAGGAAAACAUAUAGAGGUCAAAGUAUGAGACACUCUUUUGGCCACUCAAACCUUGCAUGUUUUUCAAGUUUUGUUCCAAGCUCUUCAUCUUCCGAGCCAUUUCCUCUUGCUCGGGAUUUUUAACAACCUUUUCUUGCUCUACCGAGAGAUCAUAUUGCGAAGGUUAAGUGAAAGAGUUCGGGGUCACAUAUGUUAUUUCUGAUUAACGUUGUGGACCCUGAAAGGUGAAUAUCGGAGGCUCAAUAUACAGCCAUGGUAAAGUUGGUUGUGCACUGGUGCAUACUGGUGCUGCAGAGAAAAAAUAUUGGAGGUGCCCUAGAAACUGGCGUCUGGGGGCUAACCAGAGAAGGUAUGCCAGGAUUAUUGGACGGCAUUGGAGGGUGCCCGCACUGGAUGAGUGGGUUGGACACAAGGGCAUUGGUAACCUGACCUGACCUUGGGAUCAACUCAGGGAACCCAGGGAUUGCACUUGGCGGUUUCCUACCAUUAGACUAGACGGCCCACAUUUCCAAUACGCGGAGACGCAACAUCCUAUUCUCUUCAGCAGCUGUUGAUUCUGGCUGUGUAAUAGCCGGUGCUAGGCUAUCCUCAGGAUCGAUGAUUUGUAGAUGUCUUUCAGAGGCCAUAGGAACCUUUCCUUUGAAUCUAGUGAAGUAAGGAUGGGAAGCCAAAUUACCAACAAAACAAACAACCUAAACAGAACCUGGCUAUUUUGCACACCCAACAACCUUGUUAGUUUUGAGACGCUUAACAUAUAGGAAAUUGCAUAUUAGGAUGCAAUGCACCUAAACAGUUAAACGUUUCUACUAUGUGUUUAAACGAGUUACAUGUUUCAUUCCGGCCUUAACUAACCUUUUCUUCAAUCUGCACCUUUUUUCUUUAUUUUUGUUUAUCUCCAAUCACUUUUGAUUUUGGUUUUGUUUCUGUCGCUCUUUUAUUUUGGCACUCUCUUUUUAUCUUUUUUUGUUUUAUUUUUGUCACUCUUUUGUUUUAUGUCGCUCUUUUUUUUAUUGUUGUCACUCUUUUCUUUCUUUUUCACUCAAUUUUUUUCAGUUUAUUUUUCACUCAAUUUAUUUUAUGGCUAUGAUCGAAUCUGAUGGGGAUUGCCUACGUAUCAUGAAGCCGCAUGAAUUAGAUCUUGCGUAGUUCGGGAAUACCAGGAACAAGGUAAAUGAGCUAACUCUUCUUCUUUUUUCUAAUUUAUUCAACUUUUUUUAAUAUGAAAAUUAUACCAUAGAAGCUCCUACCAAGGAAAAUAUUUUGGAUUUUGGAUUUUAAUUUUUUUUAUUUUAUUUUUUGAAAGGAAGACUUCUAACAAUUCCUUUUCUUUUGAUUUGAACUUUGGGAAUUUCAAAAGUAAAAAAGAAAAUAUUUUUGUUUGAAUUUUCAUUUGUUUUCUCUUUCUCUAAAGAAAAAAAAUAUUUUUGAAUUUUGGAUGUUGCCUCUUAAUUUUCGAAAGAGGGACUUUCAAGAAAAUAUUGGGUUUCUAAGAAUGUUUUUUUGUUUCUAAAAUUUACAAAAGUAUUUCUAAAGAAAAACGAAAAUAUUUUGGACUUUAAGUUUUUAAUUUUUUUUGACAUUUACGAAAGAAAGACUUUUAAAGAAAGAAAAGAAUAUUUUUUUGUUUUUUGGAUUCUUCUUUUUUCUGAUUUUCUUUUUUGAUAUUUUGGGAAAAAUACUUCAAAAUAAAGGAAACUCAUAUUUUAGAUUUUUAUUUUUAUUUCUUUUUUUUCCGUAUGAAAGACUUCAGAAAGAAGAAAACUAUUUUUUUGCGUUUAAAAAACUUUUUUUUUUAAUUUUCUAAGGAAAUACUUCAAAAGAAGGAAUUAAAGGAAAAUAUUUGUUUUGGAUUUUUUAAAAAUUGGAGGCCGGAACCGAUGAAGUUUGCCUACGUAUCUCACAUCCGGUGAAGAUCAGACCAGUGUAGUUCGGUCAGUUUUGACGGAACAAGGAAAACAUGGCACUUGAAAAUUUUGGUUCAUUUUGAAUGACUUUUUUUUUCCCAGAGUUUCGGGAUUUUCAAAUACCUACCUCACUCUUUUUAUUUUUGAUUUUCUUUCCCUAUUCUAGAAGUUGGUCAACAUGCAAGCUGAAACAAACAGAUGCGCAAGUAGCACGUAAGAUGCAUCAGGAUGGUCUUUUAAUGUGGGUACACCUGCCCUAGAUGGGCCCAACACCUGUGUUGAGUCCCCAAAGUCAAAUGCAUGUGAUGCAAACAAGUGUUCCUACUAGGGAUCCAUCAUGAGGCUAUGUUAUUCUAGGUUUAAAACUUGGGUAUAUUAUUCUAGACCUGGCUUACCCGAGUGGACAACUUGAGCGGGGGGGGGGGGGGGGGGAGCGUACCGGAAAUACAGAAGCUUCACCGGCUUUGCAACUUGUCUAAAAUUGGGAUAUGACUCAAACAGAAAAGAAGCCACGCGAAUCGCACGUUUCCCAGAUGAUUUAGAAGACUGAGAGAGAAGAAAGGUUUCGUAAUAGUUUAUAUACAGUUCACACAAUAUCAAAGUGGUAAAAUGGCAUUUAGCACAUUAGGCUCAAACACAUAAAAGAUCAGAUAAUAAACAAAAGUCAACUAUAACAAUUAUUCUAUGCUCGAAUUCUGUACACUGAACCAAAAGUUCUAGGUUCUUUUCCCCAGCAGAGUCGCUAGAGCUGUCACACUUCCUUUUUCCGAGGGGGAUAUAAGGAAUUUUUUUAAAUUUAAAUGACAUUAAUCGAAAUGGAAUUAUUUAUUUAAUUUCAGAGUCGCCACUUGAAAUAAUUUACGGUGUCCCAAGUCACCAGUUUAUUCUAUAUCCCAAAUCGAGGAAAUUAACUCUAUUUUUGGUCCGCGAUCACAGAAGACCAGGUAAGAAAUUCUGUUAACCCGGGAGAAGGUGUUAGACACUCCCGAGUUUCGUAGCACGGUCGCUCAACUAUUAAAAAUUAGCCUAAUUACCUGAUUUAUUACAUGCUUUAAACCUAAUUGUGCAUUUUUAACUUUAUAACCGCUUUUAUUUAUUUAUGAAAUUAUUUCUAGAACAAGUCAUGAUGUCGUACACUUGUCGUUUUGGUACACGACGCAAAUCGCGCCACAUGAAAUGCACCCGCAAUUUACGAUAUGUUUAUUUUAUUAUUUUUCGAAGUUAUGGCCAGAUCACAUGAAAUGCACUCCUGAAUUGGGAUUUACAUAUCGUAACCAUGUCACGAAAACCAUACCCAUGACCAUAAUAAUUUAUUUACGCGCCUAAAACACACUACGAUGUCCAUAAUUGCUUAAUUUCCUAAAUUUAUAACUAAAUGUAAAGAGUCCAUGAGUUAUGGGAGAUUUUGAUUAAAGAGGUAGUGUGAGUUUAUUAGUUAAUAAGGAACAAACAGGUUCCAAAUAGCCUAAGGAAAAUCAAUGUAAGCCUACAUUUGGACUCCUUGUUACUUCAGUUAAUUCAAAGAGAAACCAAGCUGGCUAAACAUUUGAGUAAAAUAAAACGCUACUGUAUUUUGAUCAAAACAAGACAUUUACCGCAAAAGAUAAAUCAAAAUAAGUCAAAUAUCCCUUAUUAGAUCAUGAAUCGAAUCAUAUUUCCAUUAACAAUUUGCAGAUUUUUGAAAUAUUGUGACCUCAAACUUUAGCUCAACUACUGAAUUUUCUUGUUAAUCACGACAUAACUGAAGAACAAUGAAUCAUAUGGAAAUUAUGCAUAAUCAGUAGGUUAAUAUGAAAAUAUUUAAGUGAAAACAGUCAAACAUCAUGUGAGCACAACAGGAGAAAGCAUUUUAACAUCACAGAUUAAAUAGGAAUUUUAAACAUCCAAAUUUCUCAGUAAAUGACCUUUAUUAGUCUAAAUUUAGUCAUGGAAUCAACAAACAGUUACAUAUAGGCUUGCAAUGGACCUAAAUGCAGGAAAACAACAAACAAAAACCAAAUGCCGAUUGGAGAAUUAAAUGGUGAAGCUUAGCCAAUUCUGGAAUAGCAGCAGAGAAAAUCGGCGAGCAACAAUACUUCUAUCAAACCCAAAUAUAGAUACCCAAACCAAGAGAAAUUGAGGUCAGCUACUCUAAAUCCAACUUCCUUCUCUUUUGAUUUUUUUUGUCUGAAACUCUUUUGCUUUGGGAUUUUAAAUCUGAAAUUUAAUCGAAAAAAUUGGUCGCAUUUUUUUUUUGGAAGGAGGAGGAGGGGGAUCCAAUAGAGCUUCUGUUUGGAGAAGACGGAUGAACAGGUGCGGCUAGGUUUGGGAUUUUUUGUUGGGUGUCACGACCCUAACACCGAACCCGAUCGUGAUGGCGCCUCUCGUGGAGACAAGGCCAGCCAGUUCAACCCAACUCAACUUUUAAAACAGUUAAUCAACAUAAAAAUAGUCUAAACAUGAUUUAAACAAUACUAAAUAACGGAAAUAUCGAUAACAAUGCGGAAAGUCCAACCCGACACAGCCCUAACCGGGGUGUCACAAGUCACGAGCAUCUCUAAACCAUAAUACUAGUCUGCUAAAGUCAUAAACUACUACAAGUGUUUGAAAGGAAACAGAAAUAAUAGAGAAGUAGAGACACGGGUCUGCGGACGUCAACAGCUACCUCGUAGUUUCCGAAAAACCGCCUGGAACUGGAGGAAUCAACACUCAGGAGCGGUACCAGCUACGCCUGAAUCUGCACACAAGGUGCAGGGAGUAAAGUGAGUACUCCAAUUCAGUGAGUAACAAAUGUAAAUAACGACUGAAAGUAAGAAAACACAUAAAACACAAGACAUUCUAUACUGAAGCAGUAAAAUCACUUAAGACAGUAAAACAAUGAAGAGUCAAGUAAAUCCCUUUUUAACAAGUAAAACAAGUAAUUGACAGGUAAGUAAAAAAAAUAGAAGUUCGCCCCUCGGACAUAGUAUCAACAAAUCCGCCCCUCGGGCAACAUCUCAGAACAGUACCAGCCCCUCGGGCUCAAUCUCAGAACAAUAUCAGCCCCUCGGGCUCAAUCUCACAUCACAAUGGGUACUCACACUCACUGGGGGAGUGCACACUCCGGGAGGGGCCCCUUACGGCCCAAGAGCAAUAUCAAGCCAUCUCGUGGCAUCAAAUCUAUGCCCUCGGCCUCAUAUCAAUCAAGCCACCUCGUGGCGUAUAUAUCUCAAGCCCUCGGCCUCAUAAACAAUAUCAACAAGCCACCUCGUGGCGUACAUAUAUCAGGCCCUCGGCCUCAAAUUAGUAUCAAUGUUUCCUCACAACUAGGCCCUCGGCCUUACUCAGUCAAAAAUACUCACAAGCCCCUCGAGCAUUAGUAAAAUAGUAUUUCUCAGCCCAAAACAUCAUUUAAAAUAUCAUUUAAGUCUCAAAACAGAGUAAAAAUGGCUGAGUAGUAAAACAGUGAAAAAUAACAUGACUAAGUUCAAUUAAUAAGUCCAAACAGUGAGGAAAUAGUAAUAAAAAUCUCCGAAUGGUUCAAAUAGUUGGCACAAAACCCAAAUAUGACAAUCAGCCCAAAUCAUGAUGAUAACAUAUAAGUUUCAGUCAAAUACGCGGUAAAAUCAUUAGUCGGGACGGACCAAGUCACAAUCCUAAUAGUACACGACCUCACGCUCGUCAUCAAGCAUGUGCCUCACCUCAAUAUAGCACUACGAUGUGCAAUCCGAGGUUUCAAACCCUCAGAGCAUCAUUUACAAUCAUUACUCACCUCGAACCAGCUAAAUCUCUAACUCGCGACGCCUUUGCCUCUCGAAUCGGCCUCCACGCGCGUCGAAUCUAUCCAAAAAAUCAGAACGAAUAUGUCGCAAUAUGCUGAGGGAACAAAGCCCAAAAAACAAUCAAAUUACCACAAAAUUCCAAAAAUUGGUCAAACCCGACCCCCGGGACCACAUCUCAGAAUUUGACAAAAUUCAUAAAACUAGAAUCUUUAUACUCUCACGGGUCUAACCAUAUGAAAAUUAUCCAAUUCCGAUACCAUUUAGUCCUUCAAAUCAUCAUUUUAUAUUUUUGAAAGAUUUCACAAUUUUCUUCCCAAAUUCCAUCCCAAAUCAUGAAUUAAAUGAUGAAUUCAAUGAUAGAUUCAUGUACUCUAGCCAAAUCUGAGUUAGAAUCAGUUACCCCGAUGAAUUUCUUGAAAAACCUUUAAAAAUCGCCAAAAUCCGAGCUCUCUAGGUCAAAAUAUCAAAUAAAAUCCAAAACCUCGUAUUUAUAGAGUACCCGACAGAUUUUCACCUCCGCAGACCGCACAAAAUUGACCGCGGUCCGCGGUCCGCACAAAAACGACCGUGGCCGCACAAGCUUUCCUCUACAUUGACAUGCUUUAGUAUUUUGUCCACAACUUUCGCUACAGAUGUCCAAACUGCAACCUUUAUGGAAAUAAGACACUAAGGGCUACAACUUUUGUUUUUGAAUCAUCCCAAAAUUCCUUGUAGAUCAAAAGAUAUGAGCUUCCGAAGUAGGACCAAUGAAAUGUCCACCACCACGGCCGCACUGCAUUUUGUGCGGUCCGCACAGCACCUACCGCGGCCGCACUUCAUUUUGUACGGUCCACAUAGCACAUACCGUGGCCGCACUUCUUUUUGUGCGGAUCACGUGGGUGGGUUCCGAGGCCUGCAACCCUUCUGGACCUGCUACAGCUAUGAUUUUCGGCCUAAAACAUCCCGGAACCUACCCGGAACUCCCGGAACUGCAAACCAAUUGUACCAACACAUCCCAUGACAUCGUUCCAACUUUUUCAAAACUUCGGAACGCUCACAACAACAUCAAUCACCAAUUUAACAUAUGAUUCAAGCCUAAUAACUCUUAAAUUAUGCUUUCGAUCAAAAAGUCUAUCAAAUCUCGUCCGAAUGACCUAAAAUUUUGCACACACAUCCCAAAUGAUACAACGAAGCUACUGUCACUCUCGGAAUUCCAUUCCGACCCCUAUAUCAAAAUCUCGCCUAUCAACCAAAAAUCGCCAAAAUAUAAAUUUCACCAAUUUAAGCCUAAAUCUUCUCUACAACUCCAAAACCCAUUCCGAUCGCGCUCCUAAGUCACAAAUCACCUCUCAAAGCUAACCGAACCAUCAGAACUCACUUGCGAGCCUGCUAAUACAUAAGUCAAUAUCCGGUUGACUUUUCCAACUUGAGCUUUCUUAGAAGAGACUAAGUAUCUCAAACUUCACCAAACUCCUUCCGGACUCGAUCCGACCAACUCGAUACCACAAAAAUAUGGAUAACAAAGCAUAAAAAAGCUUAAAUGGGGGAAAUGGAGCGGUAACUCAUGAGACGACUGGUCGGGUCGUCACAUUGGGAGGAUACCUUUAAGCAUUUUUGAACUAAAACACAAGUAAAAGAGAGCAAAUAAGCGGUCAAAGUCCCUACUUAUCAACCACACCUCCCUAAAGCCCAUAAGCCAUUGAAUUCUCUCUUAAGUACCCCAAAAGUACCACAACCAAGGUACCCACUCUGAAAAAAGAAAAUAUGUAAAAAGUUAUUUCCUUCACCUUUCUAAUAGCGAUAUGUAGAAUCCAUAAGGAUAUAGAAAUACCGCGAGUCUCGACACCAUCCAAUGUAAAUCUUAGUUUCUAGCCAUAUGCAAAUCCGAAAAAUCGCCAAUUGUUACAUAUAAUUCUUGAAUCCAUGAGAACCUUCCCGAGAGUCAUCCACUCUACUUAAAUCUAAAUUGCACCGCCCAACCCUAGGCCUAUGUGGUUGAAUCCGAGAUUCAGACUAAAUCUACAUUACCUAUUCACUCCCAAACCUCGAUUAUGUGAUUUGCUUCAAAAUCCGACCUCAAUUCGAGGUUUAAAUCUUAAUUUGUACAAAAUUACUAAAUUCUACCCAAAACUCCUAUUUCUUACUUUGAAAUUUAUAGAUUUAAUGUUAAUAUUCAUGGAAAAGUAACAGAAUUUGAUUGAAGACUAGCUAAAUUUGUUUACCAAUGAAUUUGGGAAUGCGAGAUCUGUAGGCUACACCAGCAACAACCGAUGCUCAACUAUACGAAAAACACCAAAACUCACCUGCAGCUCACUCGAGCCUCUCGGGCUACAAUCCGAACAUGCACACAAGUAUAAUAACAUCACACAAACUUACUCGCUAACAUAAAUCCUCAAAAUAAUAUCAAAUAUCAAAAAUCGAUCAUCAAAACUAAAAAUUCCAACUCAAAACUCGACUUUUGCUAAUUUUCACGUAAUGCACCGAAAUGCGCUCGCGCCACCCGGGACCCUAACCAAAUGUGCGUAAAAGUCCAAAAAUAUCAUAUGAAUCAACUAGAAUCAUCAAAACAUUUAUCUGAGGUUGUUUACCAAAACAUUGUGAUCAACUUUAGCCUCAUUUCAAGUCAAAAUCACCCUUUUUUUUAAAAACAAUUCACAUAUAAACUUUCUGGAAAACUACAUGGACCACGCAUGCAAGUCAUAAAUCAUCAAAUUAAUUAGAGUACACGCAAAUGGAGAGUAUCAGAAGCAUAACAUAGGAUCCAGUACACGCAAAUGGAGAGCAUAAUUACUGCGUUCAACCUAUCAACUCAAUAUUUUCGACAUGCAAUUUAUAUGCAUAAUAUAAGAACGUAAAUAUUAAUUCCAUAAAAUUAAAAAUCCUAAGUCCAUGUUUGAUAGGAUUAUUCACUUAAUCAAAUGGAGUAAAAAGGAACGCAAAGGAUCUAUAUGCAAUAGACUUUAGUGUUAUUCCCCUUUUAAUUUAAAUAUGUUUACACACUCUCAAAUGUAUCUGACUUUUAUAACUAAAUCUUACCUGGCUCUUGUUGUAAAAUAUACAAAUUAGAAUCAAUUGGACUUGAAAACAAAGUUCAUCAAGCAUAGAAAUCUUAUUUGAAAAGAAACCAUGAAAUUUAUUAAAUUAAAGCAUACAUUAGAAUAAAUCCAUCAUGAAAUAUAUUAGUAAUGAAUCAUUUGAAUUUCCAUCUUUCAUAUUUUUCUUUUUAUGUAGAAAUUAAGCUAAGAACAUUUACAGUGGCACACAUGCUUAUUUCCCUCUAAUUUGCAAGCUCCUCCGAGCUCACAGUCACUGACACAGAACGUCCAACAUUUUCCAUCAUCUUCUGGAUUAUCAUCUACACCAGGUACACAUGAACCAAGCUCUGGGUGAUCCAUGCAAUAUUUUGCUGCAUCAACUAUAUUCUUGCAACCUACAAAAUAACAAGAAGACAUUAUAUAUGUAAAUAUACACAUAUGUAUGUGUGCACGUACAUGCAUAUCUGGAUUUGUGCUAACUAAUAUUUAAAAUUUCUUAAACAAUCUUAUUAUUUGAAGAUGUAUAUUGUGCUUGAAUUAUAUAAAAAUUCUCUCAGCCCUUUGAAUAAAGAGAAUUUAGUUCUAAAUGAAUACAAAUUCAUGCAUUCUAGUAUCACUUGAAUUGCAAAAAAAAUGAGAGCAACACAAUUAAGCACUUUUUUUUUUUGCAAACCAAAGAUCUAUUCCAUAAAAGAAUUAAAAAAAAUAAUCAAAUAACAUUAAGAUAUUAAACAAAUAAAAGACUGUAGAAAGUAUAAGGAGUGUAAAUAGAAGAACUGAAACAUUCUUGAUAGCCAUGCUUAUUGAACAGUUAAUUUUCAGAAUUGGGUAUAUCAAUCAUACUGAGAGCAUCCUAUUAAUUUAUAGUGCUAGAAAUGACCACGGGUCUUUAAAUUUUAUAUUACAAGCAUCCAUAUUAGAUUAGUAUCAUAAUUAACUAGCUUAUAGAAAAAAAAGUAGUGCUGAUUUGCUUCCAUCUUACGAAAAAAGAUAAGAUAAUGUACUAGAAUAUUUAGUGAAAUGCAAGGAAUGAUAUACUAUCUAGUAAUAUUAUUUCCAUAUUGGUCCUAACAUUUGGGGAUUAUAAUCAUAUGUUAUUUAAGAGCCUACUUGGUUAAUAUGCAAGCUUAUUAUGUGUCACGAUCCGAAUUUUCUAUCGUCGGGACCGUGAUGGCGUCUAACAUUGUACUCGUUAGGCAAGCCAAUGUUACAGAAUAUUUCACCUUUUUUCUUUAUCUUUUAUAAUUAAAACUUAACAAAACUAAAUCAACGAAAAUAAAAGUGGAAGUACACAAGUUGAAUGAUUAUAUUUAUGCUAGUAACGAAAGGCGAAAUAGAUACCACCCAGAAACUGGUGUCACAACUCACGAACAGUCUACGAAUACUACAAGUAAUGGUUUGAAAGAAAAUAUAUUUAUCUCGGAGAAAGUAAAAUAGAAAAUAAAGUAAAGAUAGGAGGGGAUGCCAGGGUCUGUGGAUGCCUGCAAGACUACCUCGGAUCUCCUAAGUGCAGUAACAGCAACCAACCUCUCAAUUAGCCACUAGUUCCGUAAUCUGCAUAGGAAAUGCAGAGUGCAGUAUCAGUACAACCAACCCCAUGUACUGUUAAGUGUCAAGCCUAACCUUGAUGAAAUAGUGACGAGGCUACGGCGGGGCAUAACAACAUAUAUAACCUACAACAGUUUAUACUAAAACAGAAAGGAAAUACAGAAUGAAAUAUAACAGAAACUUGCAUUAAAUAAAUACGGAACCCAGUCGUUCUACCAAUACUCUACUAUAACCAAUCCUUUAGGGAGUUUCAACAUCAAAGUAAUGAACCUCAAUAGAAAUGAAUACAUAAAAAACAACUGAUGUGACAUGCAUCCCGAUCCCACCUAUAAAUAAUAGCAGUAUCAAUAUUCACCCUUAUUACUCCUUGUUGCGGCGUGCAACCCGAUCCCACCAGUUCACCUUUAUUACUCCUCAAUAUAUCACCCUUAUUCCUCCUAUUGUGGCGUACAACCCGAUCCCACCUAUCCACCCUUAUUACUCCUUGUUGCAGCGUGCAACCUAAUCCUACCAGAUAAUUACAUUCACCUUUAUUCCUCUAGUUGCGGUGUGCAACUCGAUCCCAAUAUAUAUAACAACACCAAUCACAAGAUAAAAAUGAGUGUUUCACAAAUCGACUCAAAUCCUCCACAACACUUAUUCCUCAAACCAACACAGUGGAAUAUCACUACAACUAUAAAACUUCACCAGUUAGAACUACACAGCGAGACCAACCAAAGUGUACCGUGAAAUACCAAUAACCAACAUAAACCAACAGUGUCAUAUAAAGGAACUAUGGAAUAAUUAACAACACCGAUAGAGAAACAACAUUUAGCUAGACGCAUUUAGACAUGGAAUCAUCAAUAAGCAAGUAGCAAUUAAGGCAGGAAAGCAAUAUAUAGGGAAACAGGGAAAGGAAGCAGGCUAAACAAGUAAUUUGGUGAUGCAUAGGUGCUCGCCACCACACCCAAAUCACAUAGUCAUUGUUUGCUUAUAUGUGGAUGAUAUGCCGAUAAUGAGUAAUGACAUUGCCAACAAAAAUGCGACUAAGCGUAUGCUAACUAGCAAGUUUGAUAUGAAGGAUUCGGGAGNNNNNNNNNNNNNNNNNNNNNNNNNNNNNNNNNNNNNNNNNNNNNNNNNNNNNNNNNNNNNNNNNNNNNNNNNNNNNNNNNNNNNNNNNNNNNNNNNNNNNNNNNNNNNNNNNNNNNNNNNNNNNNNNNNNNNNNNNNNNNNNNNNNNNNNNNNNNNNNNNNNNNNNNNNNNNNNNNNNNNNNNNNNNNNNNNNNNNNNNNNNNNNNNNNNNNNNNNNNNNNNNNNNNNNNNNNNNNNNNNNNNNNNNNNNNNNNNNNNNNNNNNNNNNNNNNNNNNNNNNNNNNNNNNNNNNNNNNNNNNNNNNNNNNNNNNNNNNNNNNNNNNNNNNNNNNNNNNNNNNNNNNNNNNNNNNNNNNNNNNNNNNNNNNNNNNNNNNNNNNNNNNNNNNNNNNNNNNNNNNNNNNNNNNNNNNNNNNNNNNNNNNNNNNNNNNNNNNNNNNNNNNNNNNNNNNNNNNNNNNNNNNNNNNNNNNNNNNNNNNNNNNNNNNNNNNNNNNNNNNNNNNNNNNNNNNNNNNNNNNNNNNNNNNNNNNNNNNNNNNNNNNNNNNNNNNNNNNNNNNNNNNNNNNNNNNNNNNNNNNNNNNNNNNNNNNNNNNNNNNNNNNNNNNNNNNNNNNNNNNNNNNNNNNNNNNNNNNNNNNNNNNNNNNNNNNNNNNNNNNNNNNNNNNNNNNNNNNNNNNNNNNNNNNNNNNNNNNNNNNNNNNNNNNNNNNNNNNNNNNNNNNNNNNNNNNNNNNNNNNNNNNNNNNNNNNNNNNNNNNNNNNNNNNNNNNNNNNNNNNNUUAUAUUCAUGUGUUGGGAUGUUUAAUAUAUAUUAUGAAUUGUACACGACCAUAUAUAGCUUGUACUAGAAGUAAAUUGAGUUGAUACACGAGCAAUCCAGGUCAAUCUCAUUGGAUGACAAUGAAACGAAUUUUGGGAUAUUUAAAACAUACCUAGGACUUUGCUUUACACUACAGUAAAUAUCAUGCGAUGAUUGAGGGAUACUGUGAUGCAAAUUGGAUCAUUGGUUCAACUAAUUCUAAGUCCACAAGUGAAUAUGUAUUCAAUAUUGAUGGAGGAGCGGUAUAUUGGAAGUCAUCCAAACAAACUUGUAUUGCCCACUAUACAAUGGAGACUGAGUUCAUAGCCUUAGAUAAAUCCGGUGAAAAAGCUGAAUGGCUCCGGAAUUUCUUGGAAGACAUUCCAUUUUGGCCCAAACCAUUGGCACCAAUAUGCAUAUAUUGUGAUAGUCAAGCGGCAAUUGGAAGGGCUGAGAGCGUUAUGUACAAUGGUAAAUCUCGUCAUAUACGAUGAAGACAUAAAAUCGUUAGGCAAUUACUCUCUCGAGGAAUUAUCACGAUUGACUAUGUAAAGUCAAGUGAUAAUAUGUCGGAUCCACUUACAUAAGGCCUAACUAGAGAGGUAGUUGAGAAAUCAUCGAAGAGAAUGAGACUAUGUCCGAGAAAAAGUCAUUGUGGCGGUAACUCUACCUAGAAGACCGGAGAUCCCAACCAUCAGGUCAGGGUUAAGGAGAAAGAUAUUCUGAAGACAACAUUCAGGACCAGAUACGGGCACUUUGAGUUUCAUGUUAUGUCAUUCGGUUUGACCAAUUCCAUAGCAGUAUUCAUGGAUUUGAUGAACCAUGUGUUCAGGCCCUUUUUAGAUCUAUUCGUAAUUGUAUUUAUCGACGAUAUAUUGGUGUAUUCUCGUUUAGAGGCUGAGCAUGCAGAUCAUUUGCGUAUUGUGCUAAAAAUUCUAAAAAAGGGAAGUUGUAUGCAAAAUUCUCCAAAUGUGAAUUCAGGUUGAAUUCUGUAGCUUUACUUGGGCAUAUCAUUUCGGGUGAAGGUAUCUGGGUUGAUGCACAAAAGACUGAGGCAAUAAAGACUUGGCCUAGACCCACGUCACAGACGGAGGUUCGUAGCUUUCUAGGUCUAUCAAGUUAUUAUAGGAUAUUUUUAGAGGGAUUUUCUUCCCUUUCAGCACCUUUGACAAAGUUGACUCAGAAGGGAGCAAAGUUUCGAUGGAUUAAUGCUUGGGAACGGAGUUUCCAUGCAUUGAAGGACAGAUUAACUUCAGCACCAGUUCUAAAGCUCCUAGAAGGGACCGAUGGUUAUGUUAUCUAUUGUGACACUUUAGGCGUUGGAUUGGGUUGUGUGUUGAUGCAGCAUGGUAAGGUUGUAGCUUAUGCUUCUAGAAAACUAAUAAAGCACGAGAAGAAUUACCCAACUCACAAUUUGAGUUAGCCGCAGUGAUUCAUGAACUAAAGAUGUGGAGGCACUACUUGUAUGGCAUUCAUGUUGAUAUCUAUAUGGAUCAUAAGAGCCUCCAGUAUAUCUUCAAGCAAAAGGAAUUAAAUUUACGUCAAAGAAGAUGGUUGGAGCUACUUAAAGAUUACGACGUUGAUAUUUUAUACCAUCCGGGGAAGGCGAACAUGGUAGCGGACGCCCUCAGCCGUAGAUCUAUGGGUAGCCUAUCAUAUUUACAGCCAUAGAAGAGGGGAAUAGCUCAUGAGGUUCAUCAGCUAGCUAGUUUUGGAGUUCAGUUACUGGACUCAAGUGAUAUUGGAAUUACUAUUCAGGAUACGGUAACAUCCUCGUUAGUAACUGAAGUGAAGGAACGCCAGUACGAGGAUCCUACGUUAGUUCAUCAUAAGGAUACCACCCCUCAAAAGGAGAAGACACCGUUUGAGAUUUCAGAAGAUGGAGUCCUCAGAUAUAAAAGACAAUUAUGUGUCCCUAAUGUUGUAGGGCUGCGUCAGCAGGUUAUGGGAGAAACUCCUAUUCUCGUUAUUCUAUCCAUCCAGGAGCAACAACGAUGUACCAUGAUAUCUGGGAGAUAAAUUGGUGGGACGGAAUGAAAAACGAUAUAGCAGAGUUUAUUUCUCAGUGCCCUAACUGUCAGCAGGUUAAGAUUGAACCUCAAAAGCCUGGCGGAUUAUUUCAGGCUAUGGAGAUUCCGACUUGGAAAUGGGAAGUAAUUAACACAUAUGGUAUUUCAUAUAGCAAGCAAGUCGGGGAUCCCUAAUCUCUCAAGUCAAGGUUAGACCAAACACUUACCUCAAGCCAACGGGUAUUUCAAAGCUCAACCACCGCUUUACCUCUCGAUUCUGCCAUCAAUUCACUCGUAUCUAGACAUAAUUAACUUAAUAACAUCAAUAAAGGUAAAGAAACCACUUCUAUUGCAUAAUUACAGAUUUCCCAACAUUUUCCCCAAAAAGUCAAAAAUCGACCCCGGGACCGCUUGGUAAAAACUCGAAAUUCGGACCAAAACUCGAUUACCCAUUCACCCCCGAGCCCGAAUAUAUAAUUGGUUUUGGAAUACGACCUUAAUUUGAGGUCUAAAUCCCCAAAUUUUGAAAUUCCUAAAUUCUACCCAAAACGCCCAAUUUCCUGUGAAAAACCCUAGAUUUUUUAUGAAAUCUUGUAAAAAGAUGAAAUAGAUUGAAAGAAAUGAGUUAGAAAUCGUUCAUAUGAUUUGGGGAAGAACUACUCUUUAGAAAAUCGCCCC